rnacentral:lncRNA from 1 species
GUCAUUUUGCCUUUGUAAAGUGAGCAAAACAGUUUUGAACAGGCAUUGUUUUGAAUCGCCUAUAUAAUGUGCGUUACUUCUCCAGUCCUGCAGACGGCGCUGUGACUGGACACAGACUCAUAUUAGACCCAGAAGAGCUCAUAGCUCAGAGUGAAUGGAAACAAACUCGUUACAACAACACAUGUAUCUAUGAGAUAUUGAUGUUUAAAAAUGUACCGAGGUCCGUCGAACCCCGACUAUCACCGGGCACCGGUACCUCCAUCACGUUUCGGACACCCUAUAGCACCUUUCGGACCUCCGCCGUUCUGUCCUCCUUUUGGGGUUCCUCCUCCGGGGCCUCGAUACUGCAGUCCGCAGCCUAUUCCCCCUCCGGGACGCCCGUACGGACCAGGCAAUGAAAACUACAACAGAGAUUCAUUCUACGAGAACCGACCCUUUGGUGGUCUCACUACUGACCAGAGCGGUUCCACGAUGAUCACACCAUCAAAUCAGCUUUUGCUUGGUCAGUCCACACAAAACUGGUCAACUAAAAGUCUGGAUGAGCAAAACCAAGAAGUCAGAAAAAAGGCAGAGGAGUUUCUCCGAAUCCUGGGGGCAAGUGACCGUAUUGAGCCAGCAGGAGAUAAAAAUGACAGCACGGAUCGUACAGCAGACAAACACUCGAGUCGAGCACGCAGUCGGAGCAGAGGAAGGAGCCGCGCUCGCAGUCGCAGCAGGAGUCGUGGCAAGAGCCGGGGCCGCAGUCGAGCUAGGAGCCGCGGAAAGAGUCGAGCUCGCAGCAGAUCACGCAGUCGCAGUCGAGGUAAAAGCCGCACAAGGGCCAAAAGUCGAGCCAGGAGCCGCAGCCGUAGCCGCAGCCGCAGUCACGGGAAGAGCAGCACACACAGCAAGAGUCAGCCUCGCCUGAGCCCCAGCCACACCAAACAGACUCACAGAGGAACAGCAGAGGGCAACCACAGCUCCAGCAGCACCAGCGGUGGAGGCACUCAAAGCUCUAACACCAUGCCUGAUCUCUUUCAAGGACUAAGACAGAUCCUUCAGAACAAAGAGCUGGAGAAACACCUGCCUUUGGUCAAGAACGCCCUCCUUAGAAGCCAGAUGAAUGAUGAAACCAUAUAUCCAGAAAAUCAAUCUGCACUGAGAACCUUCCAGGACCCUGAGCCGAGGUUUGAAACCGAACCCUCUGCUGGACUGUAUUACAGCUCUUCGUUUCCUCAGGAGACGACGGGUGUAGACAGCAGCAGCAGCUUUUCCAAUUUCUUAUCCUGGAACCCCGCUAACCUUCCUUCAGAGGCCAAGCCUGCAAUUCAGAGUGUUGAAGAUGAAGAAAAGUUCCUUUAUGGAGAGGAAGAGGAGAGAUCUAAACCUCAGGGUGUGACGGUUCCUCUGGCCCAGACUAGAUCUGUGAGAUCUCCGCUUCAUCACCUCAAUAAAGAGCACCAGUCCCACAGUCUCCAGGAGCCCACAGCACACGCUCUACCUGCAAGCAUGACACCCGCAGCUUCCAGCACAUCCAAAGUCACCCCGGAGGAAUGUGAGAAGGUGAAAAACCUGCUGAAGACCAUCGGCCUCAAUCCAGGUAUGGCCGAUAUCUGUAAAAUGGCUGCCAGAUUAAAGGAGAAAAAGGAAGAACAUGGAGCAAAUCCUUCACUUUCAAUGCUCAAACCAGCUCUGGAGGCUCUGCAAGCUCUGUCUAGAGCAUCCAAAACUGACGACAGUAGAAGUAAUCGCUCUGGAAGCAGCCAUUCUAAUCUAGAGGCCAAGCGAGACAAGAAGAAGGAUGAGAAGGAGCGUGAGAGACGAGAGAAUCAGAUCCACAAGAAAAGGAAGGAGUAUCUGGUGAAGGAACUGGAGGGUCUGCUGAAGCAGGAAGGCAGCGGUGAUCUGAUCCCAGUGAUGGGCUUCUUCUGCCAGCGCUGUGAGGAGUUUUUCGGGGACAUGCACAGUGCCGAGAAACAUUUAGCAAACCACAGUCGCCACGACAGGAGCAAGACAACAGAGCAGCACAAGGACUCCAAAAGACACGUAGAGUAUCAUCACCCGUCCUCUAGCAAAUGGGACAGUCCGCCCUCGUCUUCACGCUUCCAUCAGGACCACAGAGAGCGCAGUCCUGACAGAAAGCACAGUCCAGACAGAAAGCGCAUCAAGGAUGAAAGAAGUCCUCAUUCUCUGGAUGUCAAAAUCAAACAAGAGCCAGAGGAUAAAGACGGGAAAAAAGAGAGUAAAGACAAAUCCAAAGAAAAGAAGGAAAAAACAGAUGAUGAUGAUGAUGAUGACGACGAUGAUGCUGAAACAAAGAGUGAGAAGAAGAAAAAGAAAAAGGAGAAGAAGUUGAAGAAAAAAGAAAAGAAAAAGAAGAAGGACAAGAAGAAGUCUGAGAAGGAUUCACCUUGA